AAAUGAAUUGACGGGGGCCCGCACAAGCGGUGGAGCAUGUGGUUUAAUUCGACGCAACGCGAAGAACCUUACCAGGGUUUGACAUCCUCUGACAGCAUAUGAAAGUAUGUUUUCCGGUUUAGGCCGGACAGAGAGACAGGUGGUGCAUGGUUGUCGUCAGCUCGUGUCGUGAGAUGUUGGGUUAAGUCCCGCAACGAGCGCAACCCUUACGUUUAGUUGCUAACAUGUAAAGAUGAGCACUCUAAAGGAACUGCCGUUGACAAAACGGAGGAAGGUGGGGACGACGUCAAAUCAUCAUGCCCCUUAUGUCCUGGGCUACACACGUGCUACAAUGGCCGGUACAAAGGGAAGCGAAGCCGCGAGGUGGAGCAAAUCCAAUAAAAGCCGGUCUCAGUUCGGAUUGCAGGCUGCAAUUCGCCUGCAUGAAGCCGGAAUCGCUAGUAAUCGCAGGUCAGCAUACUGCGGUGAAUACGUUCCCGGGCCUUGUACACACCGCCCGU
rnacentral:rRNA from 1 species